UGUUCCCAGUCCACUCCACUUCCCUUAAUGACAUGAUAGCCCUGAUCAGGUUGGUGACCUGUGUGGGAAAGCGAGGCCUGAACGGAUGGGGUUGAUGAGAACUCUGACUGCAGUGAGCCGAGAGUGACAGACUCCUGGGAGGCAGGGAGGCUAUUUAAACUUUUGGGGAGUGGGUAGAGGCUUUUAGGGUGAGCGUACAUCAUCGGCCAAGGCUAAGGUGCUGGGAACGCGUUAUUUGCGUGAAGAGGAAUUUUCUGGACAUGACCUACUAAGGAGAGAGGAAGUUUAAUUUGUAAUCUGGCUGCCUGGCUAAGUGAGCACUUCCAGGGUGUCAGAGGCACAAUUCAUGCUCAUGGCACACAUGAAAUAUAUAUUAUAAUGAAAGUAUGUGCUGGGACCUUGGCUCUGGGAAAGGACAGCCUGCUGAACUGUGGUCUCCUGAUGUGUGUGACUAUCCUGCUCUCCUCUGUGCUGCAAGGGCCACUGAUGUGGUGUGACACAAAGCCCAGAGAACUGGGAUUUGAUCAUCCCCCAUGUUUCUGCUUCUGCCUCUGCUGGAUGGGGUGUUUUUGACCUUGAACUGCUGCGAUAAUGUAUAAUAUAAAGGACUUUACAGAGAUAAUCUUUAAUACUCCAUUUUAAAUAUCUUUUUUUCCCAUCUAAAUUCCAU